rnacentral:rRNA from 1 species
GUAGUCCACGCCGUAAACGAUGAUAACUAGCUGUCGGGGGCCUUAGGCUUUCGGUGGCGCAGCUAACGCAUUAAGUCAUCCGCCUGGGGAGUACGGCCGCAAGGUUAAAACUCAAAGAAAUUGACGGGGGCCUGCACAAGCGGUGAGCAUGUGGUUUAAUUCGAAGCAACGCGCAGAACCUUACCAGCGUUUGACAUGUCUAGUAUGGGUUCCAGAGAUGGAUCCCUUCAGUUAGGCUGGCUAGAACACAGGUGCUGCAUGGCUGUCGUCAGCUCGUGUCGUGAGAUGUUGGGUUAA